GCCAUCAAUGCAAAGUACCCCUUUCGGAGCCUAUUGUUAUCACUCAAAAGGCAAAAAUAGCUACUUUCACAGGGAUUUUGGGAGAUGUUACCACAUACUGUAAAAAGUGUGGGGUCUGUGGGAACUUCUUCCGAUAUCAGGAAUGGACUGAGGGGCUUCAUAACUUUGAUGAUCAUAUGAUUCUCUCUAUUCAUCUAUGCCUUUUGUUAUGUCAAUCAGUGCAGAAUCACACAGCAGUUGGCAGGCAGCUGGACAUUUUGGAGCAAACAAACAAA